rnacentral:lncRNA from 1 species
AGUCGUGGUUUCCUGCGUUUGUAGAUGGAAGGAAGAACUUGUGUGCUUAGACCUGACGCUGGGAGGAGAUGCUGCCACCUAGGUUACUUGUAGGACCCUAUACGGCAACCUCCUUUGCCAGGAACUAUUUAUAAACAUCCUGCAGGAAAAUGAGUCUAUAUGUCAGAAUACACAUUUCCCACCUUGCCCAACAGUAGAAAAACAUAAGAAGAGAAAAACAUUAAAAAAUGACAAGGAAGUUAAUGGAAGCAAUGUGAUGGUGUUUGGAGGUGGAGCCUUCAGAAGGUAAUUAAUGCCCUUGUAAGAAGAGGCCAGAGAGCUUGCGCACCUUCUUCCUGCCAUGUGAGGAGCCAAGAAGCCGGCUGUCUGCAACCUGCAAGAGGACCCUCACUAGAAGCUAGCCAUACUGGCAUCCUCAUCUUGGCUUUCCAACUUCCAGAACUGUGAGAAGUAUAUGUUUGUGGUUUAGUCAAUGGUCUAUGGUAAUUUUUUUAUAGCAGUCCCAGCCAAGACAGUGCCUCAUUUACUACAUACCAUUUAUAUUAUUAUAUAGGCUCCUUUCAGAAACCCAUGUUCAAAUAAGAGAUAAGAUACUGAAACACAUAACACCUUCACUAGUUUUUAGUAUACAAAUAUUGAGAAAUAGUUUGUUAUUAACUAUCUCAUCCAAGAAAUGCAGAUUCAUGUUGUUUCUAAUUUUUUAUAUAUAAUUGACAAAAUGAAGAAACUUAACACCAUCCUAGAUUUUAGCUGCCCAAAGAAUGAAAAGAAUGAAAAAAAAAUCUUUGAAAACCCACAAGUGAUAUGGAUCUAAUUUAUGGUUAAAUAGAUAUAGAUAACAAACAGAAUACGCCUGUUUAAAACUGUUAAAAUGACAUUGGUUCUAAUUAUACUUUUAUUUAAAUUGAAAGACAAGGCAUUUAUAUGGUAUCUCUAACCAUCACAACUUUUGUGUGACAAAAAGAAAUUAUCACCAAAAUACACCUCCUUAAGUAAGUGUCUGAUUUCACACUUCCAGAAAAAGUGCUCUUUCUGGUCAAGCCAGCAAGAAUUGAGAAAGAUUAAGAAAGUGCUUCAAAGAUGUUUAUUAAAAAGUUGUCAUAAAAAUGUGAAGUAGAUGUAGCAUCAAGCAUACCAAAUAAAGUAAAACUGUCAUCAAGAAGAUUCAACAGCUAUGAAAAGAGUUCUUCAAAAUAUGAUAUGUUUUUCUAGAUGAUAAUAAAAUUUAUCAAUUCCAAAUGUCCACAUUAGUCUUUCAUAAAGACACCAAUGAGUCACAGGAAAAAAAAUUAAAAAUAAAAAAACCCUAUCUCAGGGAAUCAUGCU